GUGAACGCUGGCGGUAGGCCUAACACAUGCAAGUCGAACGGCAGCACAGUAAGAGCUUGCUCUUACGGGUGGCGAGUGGCGGACGGGUGAGGAAUACAUCGGAAUCUACUUUUUCGUGGGGGAUAACGUAGGGAAACUUACGCUAAUACCGCAUACGACCUACGGGUGAAAGCAGGGGAUCUUCGGACCUUGCGCGAUUGAAUGAGCCGAUGUCGGAUUAGCUAGUUGGCGGGGUAAAGGCCCACCAAGGCGACGAUCCGUAGCUGGUCUGAGAGGAUGAUCAGCCACACUGGAACUGAGACACGGUCCAGACUCCUACGGGAGGCAGCAGUGGGGAAUAUUGGACAAUGGGCGUAAGCCUGAUCCAGCCAUACCGCGUGGGUGAAGAAGGCCUUCGGGUUGUAAAGCCCUUUUGUUGGGAAAGAAAAGCAGCAGGUUAAUACCCCGCUGUUCUGACGGUACCCAAAGAAUAAGCACCGGCUAACUUCGUG
rnacentral:rRNA from 1 species